UUGACAGCUCUACAGACUCAAGUCCUCUAUUUUUCCUCAGAACAAGCUCAGCAAAGGCAGCAGCAGGACAAAUAUCCCUAACAUUCCCCCUUGUGAAUGUGACACAACCUUGACCUGGAGGGACCACUUUGAGGAGGGCGGUUGGGGAGGGGAGAAGUUUGUUCUCCUUGGCACCUCUGCUGAGACUGCU
rnacentral:sRNA from 1 species